CUACGUGCCAGCAGCCGCGGUAAUACGUAGGUGGCAAGCGUUGUCCGGAAUUAUUGGGCGUAAAGGGCGCGCAGGCGGCUUCUUAAGUCUGUCUUAAAAGUGCGGGGCUUAACCCCGUGAUGGGAUGGAAACUGGGAAGCUCAGAGUAUCGGAGAGGAAAGCGGAAUUCCUAGUGUAGCGGUGAAAUGCGUAGAUAUUAGGAGGAACACCAGUGGCGAAAGCGGCUUUCUGGACGAAAACUGACGCUGAGGCGCGAAAGCCAGGGGAGCGAACGGGAUUAGAUACCCCGGUAGUCCUGGCCGUAAACGAUGGGUACUAGGUGUAGGAGGUAUCGACCCCUUCUGUGCCGGAGUUAACGCAAUAAGUACCCCGCCUGGGGAGUACGACCGCAAGGUUGAAACUCAAAGGAAUUGACGGGGGCCCGCACAAGCGGUGGAGUAUGUGGUUUAAUUCGACGCAACGCGAAGAACCUUACCAGGUCUUGACAU
rnacentral:rRNA from 1 species